GAGGCUCUGUCGAAUUUUGCUUACACUUAUAAUCGCAGAUUGUCAUCACCUAUUGGUUGUACCCCCUAUGAGAAGAUGUUUGGUAAGAAACCCAACAUCAAGCACAUGAGAAUCUUUGGUUCUGACAUGUGGGUACACACCCCACAGAGCAACAAGCUUGGGAAGCGUGGGGCACAUGGUUUGUUCAUGGGGUACGAAAAAGGUGCAUACAGGGUAUGGAUGACCAACUCUAAGUCCAUUAAGUUCACAAAGAGUGUUGAAUACAAUCCUAAGUGGGGGGGAAAUGUGGGAAUUUUCCAGAGUUACCCAGAGGAG